rnacentral:rRNA from 1 species
UCAGGCNUCAGGCCUAACACAUGCAAGUCGAACGCGAAAGCCCCUUCGGGGGUGAGUAAGUGGCGCACGGGUGAGUAUCGUGUAGACAACCUGCCCUNUGCUGGGGAAUAACCACGGGAAACCGUGGAUAAUACCGCAUAUUGUCUUAACCAGGCAUGUGGUUUUGAUGCAAGCCUUCGGGCGGCAAAGGAGGGUUNGAUGUCGGAUUAGGUAGGGGGUAGGGUAAAAACCUACCUAGGCGACGAUCGGUAGGUGGUGUGAGACGACCAUCAGCCGCANGGGCAACGACCCACGGUCCAGACUCAUGCGGGAGGCAGCAGUGAUGAAUAAUGCGCAANGGCCGAAUGUNUGACGCAGCCACGCCGNANGAAGGAAGACACCCUUAUGAGGCGUAAACUCCUUANGNUGAGAAGANUAUNGGUUGCCNGGAUGACGC